rnacentral:misc_RNA from 1 species
UCCGGUUUGACACCGGCAGUCUCCCUAGAGUUCCCGGCAUGACCCGCUGGUAACUGGGGACAAGGGUUGCGCUCGUUGCGGGACUUAACCCAACAUCUCACGGCACGAGCUGACGACAGCCAUGCAGCACCUGUGUUGCGGUUCCCUUUCGGGCACCAAGACAUCUCUGUCCCGUUCCGCACAUGUCAAGGGUAGGUAAGGUUUUUCGCGUUGCAUCGAAUUAAUCCACAUAAUCCACCGCUUGUGCGGGUCCCCGUCAAUUCCUUUGAGUUUAAGCCUUGCGGCCGUACUCCCCAGGCGGUCAACUUCACGCGUUAGCUUCGACACUGGGAGGCUUACCCUCUCAACGUCUAGUUCUCAUCGUUUAUGGCGUGGACUAC